rnacentral:rRNA from 1 species
UACGGAGGGUGCAAGCGUUAUCCGGAUUCACUGGGUUUAAAGGGUGCGUAGGCGGGCAGGUAAGUCAGUGGUGAAAUCCCCGAGCUCAACUUGGGAACUGCCGUGGAUACUAUCAAUCUUGAAUAUCGUGGAGGUAAGCGGAAUAUGUCAUGUAGCGGUGAAAUGCUUAGAUAUGACAUAGAACACCGAUAGCGGAGGCAGCUUGCUACACGAUCAUUGACACUGAGGCACGAAAGCGUGGGGAGCAAACAGG